rnacentral:rRNA from 1 species
GACGAACGCUGGCGGCGUGCUUAACACAUGCAAGUCGAACGAAGAGCGAUGGAAGCUUGCUUCUAUCAAUCUUAGUGGCGAACGGGUGAGUAACGCGUAAUCAACCUGCCCUUCAGAGGGGGACAACAGUUGGAAACGACUGCUAAUACCGCAUACGAUCUAACCUCGGCAUCGAGGAAAGAUGAAAGGUGGCCUCUAUUUAUAAGCUAUCACUGAAGGAGGGGAUUGCGUCUGAUUAGCUAGUUGGAGGGGUAACGGCCCACCAAGGCGAUGAUCAGUAGCCGGUCUGAGAGGAUGAACGGCCACAUUGGGACUGAGACACGGCCCAGACUCCUACGGGAGGCAGCAGUGGGGAAUCUUCCGCAAUGGACGAAAGUCUGACGGAGCAACGCCGCGUGAGUGAUGACGGCCUUCGGGUUGUAAAGCUCUGUUAAUCGGGACGAAAGGCCUUCUUGCGAACAGUUAGAAGGAU